UACGGAGGAUCCAAGCGUUAUCCGGAUUUAUUGGGUUUAAAGGGUGCGUAGGCGGAUUAAUAAGUCAGUGGUGAAAGCCUGCAGCUUAACUGUAGAAUUGCCAUUGAUACUGUUAGUCUUGAGUAUAUUUGAGGUGAGCGGAAUGUGCAGUGUAGCGGUGAAAUGCUUAGAUAUUGCACAGAACACCGAUUGCGAAGGCAGCUCACUAAACUAUAACUGACGCUGAGGCACGAAAGUGUGGGGAUCAAACAGG
rnacentral:rRNA from 1 species